GGAAGGAGCUGCGCCGUGUCGUCCGUCUCCCUGCGCGCCGCGGGCACUUCUCCUGGGCUCUCCCCGAACUCUCCCGCGACCUCUGAGCGCCUUCAGGCCACCUUCCCCGCCCUGGGUUCGGGACAACUUCUGGGGUGGGGUGCAAAGAAAGUUUGCGGCUCCUGCCGCCGGCCUCCCCGCCUCUCGGCCUAGGAGGCUCGCCGCCCGCGCCCGCUCGUUCGGCCUUGCCCGGGACCGCGUCCUGCCCCGAGACCGCCACCAUGAACAAGCUUUACAUCGGCAACCUCAACGAGAGCGUGACCCCCGCGGACUUGGAGAAAGUGUUUGCGGAGCACAAGAUCUCCUACAGCGGCCAGUUCUUGGUCAAAUCCGGCUACGCCUUCGUGGACUGCCCGGACGAGCACUGGGCGAUGAAGGCCAUCGAAACUUUCUCCGGGAAAGUAGAAUUACAAGGAAAACGCCUAGAGAUUGAACAUUCGGUGCCCAAAAAACAAAGGUCCUGAAGGCUGACUGAAACAAUAACAGAGUCAGUAAUAGUAGUCAGAAGUUCUAUCCAUGGAUUUUGUUUAUCUUGUAAAAGAGAGACAACAGGCCUUCCAGUUGGCCACUGGCAAGGCUCUGAGGAUCUUUCUCAGGGUCUCAGCCAGUCUUUGACUCCAUGUUAGUGUAAAACUCUUGUACCCCAUCCAUUUCCACCUUUCCUCUCCUCCCCUAUACCUUUUUAAAUGCCUGUCAAAACAAAAAGCAGAAGAAAAGGUCUCAAACCUGUACUCAAGAAA
rnacentral:sRNA from 1 species